GAGCGGAUGACGGGAGCUUGCUCCUUGAUUCAGCGGCGGACGGGUGAGUAAUGCCUAGGAAUCUGCCUGGUAGUGGGGGACAACGUUUCGAAAGGAACGCUAAUACCGCAUACGUCCUACGGGAGAAAGCAGGGGACCUUCGGGCCUUGCGCUAUCAGAUGAGCCUAGGUCGGAUUAGCUAGUUGGUGGGGUAAUGGCUCACCAAGGCGACGAUCCGUAACUGGUCUGAGAGGAUGAUCAGUCACACUGGAACUGAGACACGGUCCAGACUCCUACGGGAGGCAGCAGUGGGGAAUAUUGGACAAUGGGCGAAAGCCUGACCCAGCCAUGCCGCGUGUGUGAAGAAGGUCUUCGGAUUGUAAAGCACUUUAAGUUGGGAGGAAGGGCAGUAAGCUAAUACCUUGCUGUUUUGACGUUACCGACAGAAUAAGCACCGGCUAACUCUGUG
rnacentral:rRNA from 1 species